rnacentral:rRNA from 1 species
AAGACCCUGCACUUUUGGAGCGGCCGAUGUCUGAUUAGCUAGUUGGUGGGGUAAUGGCCUACCAAAGCGUCGAUCAGUAGCUGGUCUGAGAGGACGGCCAGCCACACUGGGACUGAGACACGGCCCAGACUCCUACGGGAGGCAGCAGUGGGGAAUUUUGGACAAUGGGCGCAAGCCUGAUCCAGCCAUGCCGCGUGAGUGAAGAAGGCCUUCGGGUUGUAAAGCUCUUUCAGCCGGGAAGAAAAGGUUGCGAUUAAUAAUCGCAAUUUAUGACGGUACCGGAAGAAGAAGCACCGGCUAACUACGUGCCAGCAGCCGCGGUAAUACGUAGGGUGCGAGCGUUAAUCGGAAUUACUGGGCGUAAAGGGUGCGCAGGCGGUUUUGUAAGUCAGAUGUGAAAUCCCCGGGCUUAACCUGGGAACU